AUUGAACGCUGGCGGCAGGCCUAACACAUGCAAGUCGAACGAGUGGCGGACGGGUGAGUACUGUCUGGGAAACUGCCUGAUGGAGGGGGAUACCUACUGGAAACGGUAGCUAAUACCGCAUACCAUCAGAAGUGCCCAAAUGGGCUUGGCUUGUUGGUGGGGUAACGGUUCAACAAGGCGAAGAUCCCUAGCUGGUCUGAGAGGAUGACCAGCCACACUGGAACUGAGACACGGUCCAUAAUCCUACGGGAGGCAGCAGUGGGGAAUAUUGCACAAUGGGCGCAAGCCUGAUGCAGCCAUGCCGCGUGUAUGAAGAAGGCCUUCGGGUUGUAAAGUACUUUCAGCGGGGAGGCGUUACCCGCAGAAGAAGCACCGGCUAACGCCGUGCCAGCAGCCGCGGUAAUAC
rnacentral:rRNA from 1 species